UACGUAGGUGGCAAGCGUUGUUCGGAAUUAUUGGGCGUAAAGGGCGCGUAGGCGGCACAGCAAGUCGGGAGUGAAAGCCCGGGGCUCAACCCCGGAAUGGCUUUCGAAACUGCUGAGCUAGAGUACAGAAGGGGCAACCGGAAUUCCCAGUGUAGCGGUGAAAUGCGUAGAUAUUGGGAAGAACACCUGAGGCGAAGGCGGGUUGCUGGGCUGAUACUGACGCUGAGGCGCGAAAGCCAGGGGAGCAAACGGG
rnacentral:rRNA from 1 species